GAAGUCCGGCUUGCUCGAUUGAAGCCCGGACGUUCUCGGAUGCGAGUGCCCAGUGGGCCACUUUUGGUAAGCAGAACUGGCGCUGUGGGAUGAACCAAACGACGGGUUAAGGGGCCCGAUGCAGGACGCUCAUGAGAACCCAUGAAAGGUGUUGGUUGCUAUAGACAGCAGGACGGUGGCCAUGGAAGUCGGAACCCGCUAAGGAGUGUGUAACAACUCACCUGCCGAAGCAAGCAGCCCUGAAAAUGGAUGGCGCUUCAGCGUCGACCCCAUACCCGUCCGCCGCGCCGGAGAUGCGAUCGCAUUAUGGCGCGGCGAGUAGGAGGGCGCGGGGGCGAGCGUGGAAGGUGCCGGGCGCAAGCCCGCCUGGAGCCGCCCCUGGUGCAGAUCUUGGUGGUAGUAGCAAAUACUCAAGUGAGAACCUUGAGGACUGAGGUGGAGAAGGGUUCCAUGUGAACAGCAGUUGAACAUGGGUCAGUCGGUCCUAAGGGAUGUCCGAAAGGAUUUCCGAAGGGGGGACUUUGGUGGAGGGGUCCCCCCCAUGACCGAAAGGGAAUCGGGUUAAUAUUCCCGAACCCGGACACGGAGAUCGGUCCCUCCGGGGACACGUGCGGUAACGCAAACGACCUCGGAGACGUCGACGGGGGUCCCGGGAAGAGUUGUCUUUUCUUUGUAAGGGUUCGGCUCCCUGGAAUCGGCUCGCCCGGAGAUAGGGAUGCUGAACCCGUAAAGCACCGCGCCUCUUGUGGUGUCCGGAGCGCUCCCGUCGGCCCUUGAAAAUCCGAGCGAGAGAUGGUGAUUUUCGUGCCGGCCCGUACCCAUAUCCGCAGCAGGUC
rnacentral:rRNA from 1 species